rnacentral:rRNA from 1 species
UAUGUCGGGAAGGGAUAAGCGCUGAAAGCAUAUAAGCGCGAAACCCACCACAAGAUGAGAUUUCUUUAAAGGGCCGUGGGAGACUACCACGUUGAUAGGCCAUAGGUGUAAAGGCAGUAAUGUCAUAGCCGAGUGGUACUAAUAACCCGUAAGCUUAUGUACA